CAAAAACUGGGUCCCUAACUUGUAAUUAAGUAUCUAUCCAAGUGUCUAUCUUCCACAGAGAACACACAGUCUUGGAGUCUCACUUUCUACUGAUCAGGACCAUUAACCCCGCAACCUAGUUAGGCUACCAGGUUGGGCAGAUUUCUAUAGGACCUGGUCCCCUAAAGAGUAAAAAUCCCUCAACUGCUCCUUACUCCCUAACUUCAAAAGGAUCCAAAGGAUUUGGUUACCCGACAGGCCUGAGAUAAAGGCUUGAUUGUCUUUCCAGGAUUUCAAACCUGUUCUUUGGGGAUGGCCCAACCCCACUUGUUCAGUUUUGCAGCCAGAAGCAUGGAUUCAUCAUCAGUAUGGUGGGACGCUACUUCAGACUGCUUUCAUGUCAAGAUCUGCCUCAUCUUCCAAAGUGGGAGUUCCCAGCAUUAGGCUUGUGGGGGUGGAAGCUUAAUCCGCCUCCUUCCAAAAACUGAAGUGAGUCACUACCAACCUUGUCUCUCCACCCUUUACUGGGUCCAUACACAGCCCUGCCUUUUUUUAAGGAGGUGGAACCCAGCCUAAGGUCUCUCUGGCCAGACGCGGUGGCUCACACCUGUAAUCUCAGCACUUUGGGAGGCUAAGGCAAGUGGAGCACGAGGUCAGGAGAUCGAGACCAUCCUGGCCAACAUGGUGAAACCCCAUCUCUACUGAAAAUACAAAAAUUAGCCGGGCAUGGUGGCUUGUGCCUGUAAUCCCAGCUACUCGAGAGACUGAGGCGAGAGAAUUGCUUGAACCCGGGAGGCAGAGGUUGCAGUGAGCCAAGAUCCCACCACUGCACAUCAGCCUGGGCGACAGAACCAGAUUCUGUCUGAGAAAAAAAAAAAAAAAGAAAGAAAGCCAACCAAUUCUUGCUGUAACUUCUGAAAAAGAACACAGUGCUGUGGCAGCAAUAAUGAUGACAUUCUUCCAAGGGGCAGGAUAAGAAAGAGGCAAAACAGCUGCUGGAGGUGGAUUUUUGGCAUUAGGGAAGUGUGAAAUGUGAAAAAUCGCUAUCACAGAAGAUCAAAGGAGUUAAGAAAAACUCACAAUUUAGAGCUACCUGUUUGUAUUAGUCUGUUUUUAUACCGCUAUAAAGAUACUACCUGAGACUGGGUAAUUUAUAAAGAAAAGAGAUUUAAUUGACUCACAGUUCCACAUGUCUGGGGAGGCCUCAGGAAACUUACAAUCAUGGUGGAAGGUGAAGGGGAAGCAGGCACCUUCUUCACAAGGCAGCAGGAGGGAGGGAGAGAGAAGCAAAGUGGGAAGAGCUCCUUAUAAAACCAUCAGAUCUAUGAGAACUCACUCAUUGUCAUAAGAACAGCAUGGGGGAACCUCCCCCAUGAUCCAAUCACCUCCCACCAGGUCUCUCCCUCAACACCCGGGAAUUACAAUUCAAGAUAAGAGGCCGGGCACUCACCUGUAAUCCUAGCACUUUGGGAGGCCGAGGCGGGCAGAUGGCCUGAGCUCAGGAGUUUGAGACCAGCCUGGGCAACAUGGUGAAACCCCAUCUCUACUAAAAUACAAACAACAACAACAAAAAUUAGCGGGCGUGGCAGCGUGUGCCUGUAGUCCCAGGUACUCAGGAGGCUGAGGCAGGAGAAGUGCUUGAACCCUGGAAGCAGAGGUUGCAGUGAGCUGAGAUCGUGCCACUGCACUCCAGCAUGGCGACAGAGCGAGACUCCAUCUCAAAAAACAAAAACAAAAACAAUUCAAGAUGAAAUUUGAGUGGGGACACAAAGCCUAAACAUAUCACUGUUUUACAGCGUAAACAGUCACCUAAGUUAACUGUGUUAGAUAUGGUUUCUUGCAUACAUUUUCACUACCUUCUCUAUAUACUCCAUUUUUACUCUACAGAAUUAUAGAAACUGGAAGGCUCAAAACUAUAUUUCCCACUUUUCACCAUCCAUAAAAGUCACAAUUGUAAAUCUAAGUGGGACAAUAACAGUUUCACAAGAAAACAGAAGAAUACUCACGAUUUUGGAAUCCACAAAGAUUUCUUAAACUGGAGACACACAAAAUAAAUAAGCCAUAAAGGAAAACAUCUGAUAAACUAAACUAAUUCAAAAUUAUGAAUGUCUUCUUCAAAAUACACUAUUAAAAGAGUGAAUAAAAUAAGCCACAGAGUGGGCUGGGCACAGUGGCUCACGCCUGUAAUCCCAGCACUUUGGGAGGCCGAAGCAGGCAGAUCACAAGGUCAGGAGAUUGAGACCAUCCUGGCUCACAUGGUGAAACCCCGUCUCU
rnacentral:lncRNA from 1 species